CCUACGGGGGGCAGCAGUGGGGAAUAUUGGACAAUGGGCGAAAGCCUGAUCCAGCCAUGCCGCGUGUGUGAAGAAGGCCUUCGGGUUGUAAAGCACUUUCAGUGGGGAAGAAAGCCUUGGGGCUAAUACCCUCGAGGAAGGACAUCACCCACAGAAGAAGCACCGGCUAACUCCGUGCCAGCAGCCGCGGUAAUACGGAGGGUGCGAGCGUUAAUCGGAAUUACUGGGCGUAAAGCGCGCGCAGGCGGUCUGAUAAGCCGGUUGUGAAAGCCCCGGGCUCAACCUGGGAACGGCAUCCGGAACUGUCAGGCUAGAGUGCAGGAGAGGAAGGUAGAAUUCCCGGUGUAGCGGUGAAAUGCGUAGAGAUCGGGAGGAAUACCAGUGGCGAAGGCGGCCUUCUGGACUGACACUGACGCUGAGGUGCGAAAGCGUGGGUAGCAAACAGGAUUAGAUACCCGAGUAGUC
rnacentral:rRNA from 1 species